rnacentral:lncRNA from 1 species
UUUAUAAGAGAUUUGUAAUGAUUUUGUUCCAUUACAUAAAUUUUAUCAUGCAUUCAUUAUUCUGAAUCUGUAUCUGACACUCAUUUGCCUUAAUUAGCACUUGGGAUGUCAUAGGGGAUCAACUUAUCGGUAAGUCCAUGGUAUUUUUCCUUUCCUUGUCUAUUUUUCCUAGUCUUUAUUUUUACUUUCCUUUAGGAUUGUAGAUUCAAUUAGAGGGAGGGGUUUAAUUCU